AUAAGGUGUUGUCCAAAUACACACAAAUAAUAUGCCCCGGCGCGUGUGGCAAUACUGUUCCCGCCUAGAUGCAAUUGGCCUCCAGCCUGUGCCUGUUCGAUAUUGUUGCUUUUUUACACCGAAACUUCUUUUUUUAUUACAAAUGAGGCUGAGUGUUUCGACAAGACAAUCGUCAAACGCAAUAGAAUAUCCGUUACAUACUUACCAAUAAUGAAAUCUUCGUUGGUAGCUAUAAAUAUGAGUCGCCUAAGUUUUACAAUAUAUCACGUACUCCUGAAUAUUAGCAGAAAAUUAAGAAACCUGUUCAACCUAUCUAUGCAUUAGUAUAUCACACAUUUAAAUUAUGAGAUAAGUUCGCACCUUCAAAUCGUGCCGCAAAACUGAACAAUAAUAAACUCCAAUUAAAAACAACAAAAUCGACCAAACACCUCCAGCCAAUCAGUAACUAGGGGGACAGUGUUGCCAUACGUGCCUGGGACAGAUUAACUGGCAGGAGGGAAUAAGUUGAGUUGACACGGGGAAAGAUUGACUAUGAAUUGAUUUGUGUCCGUAUUCUCAAACGCUUUCGGCUCUCACGACAGCUACUUCCAAGGGCCACAGAAGGUGAUUAGUCAAGUUCUCAUGAGUGUUUUUUUUCAUGUUCAUGGUACAGAAGCCUUGUCAAACUAUCACUAGACUCAAAGUUAAACGAUCACUAGGUUCAUUAAAUUACCCAUGGAUAUGCUAACACAACCUCUACCAAAGCCUUGUCAAACUAUCACUAGACUCAAAGUUAAACGAUCACUAGGUGCAUUAAAUUACCCAUGGAUAUGCUAACACAACCUCUAACAAAGCCUUGUCAAACUAUCACUAGGUCCAUAAAACUACCCAUGGGACUACUAAAACAACCUCUUCUAAAGCCUUGUCAUGCUAUCACUAAGCUCAGAAAACUACCCGUGAAAAUACUACCAAAGGCUCUACUAAAACCAUAUCAGAGGAUCACUAGGUUCAUUAAACUACCCAUGAAAAUGCUGACACAAACUCUACCAAAGUCUUGUCAAGCUACCACUAGGCUUAUAAAACUACCCAUAGGAAUACUAACACAGCCUCUACUAAAGCCUUGUCAAGCUAUCACUAAGCUCAGAAGCUAACCACAAAACUCAUAAAAGUAACCAUGGAUAUCCUAACACAAGCUCUACCAAACCCUUGUCAAACUAUCACUAGGCUUAUAAAACCACACACAGGAAUCAACACUUCCUCUACCAAAGCCGGGUCAAACUACCACUAGGCUUACAAAACGACCCGAGGAAAUACUAACACAGUCUAUAGCAAAGCCUUGUCAAACUAUCAUCUAGGCCUCUAGGGUUCUAGGCUCAUAAAACUACCCAUGAGAAUAAUACCACAACCACUACCAAAGCCUUAUCCAAUGUGGGUGGGUGAGCCCUGAAACGCUUGAAAUAUGAAGGGGGUUGGUAAAAGGAUAGACAGUAUGAGGUGAUAUACAAGUGGGUUAGUAAGAGUUGAGUUAGUAUGAAAAAACACACGAUGUCAUUAGUAAGGAGAUGUAUUCGGAGUUCUACAUCUGAUAAGAAAAUAAUGGAAGAGGUCGUGGUGGUGGUGGUGGUGGUGGU